rnacentral:lncRNA from 1 species
AGUUGAGAGAGUUUUUGUUUUUUGUUUUUUGAGGGAGAAGAGAGAAAAUGAAUUUUUUUUAAAAAAAUGACUUAAAUAAAGGUGCAAAACGGCGCCGUUUUAAGCUAGGGUUCACAGGCGCCAAAACGACGCCGUUUCACCCUUGACCCAUGCGCCAACCCGCUCCAGAGGAUCAGCUUUUUUUUGUGCGAAAUGGGUUAUUUGCGCACUGCCCCUUCCGCUUUUAUGGCCUG